UGAUUUCUAUAGAGCAGUCUGGAUUUCAAAAGAGAGAAUACCAUUUGCUAAGAAAAAUCUGUGUUCAAAAACUGAAAAACAAAAUGAAACACAAUCAAAAACAACGCUAUAGAAGAUGUAACAUAAUAAAAGGACAUGGCUGAAUAGAUAACAUGAAAACAUGUGAUCGUGACGGAUGCUGUAUUUGCUCUCUGUGCCUGCGUUUCCUGCGCCCUUCCUCCCCAAGGGGCUGGCAUGAGUUAGAUGAGGAUGUCCUCACUUACUGUGAAGCAAAUUGUUCUCUUCAAUAGAGAAAAUAAACCCAGGCAAGUAAAAAUUUGACGUAAGAACAUAAUUUUAAGGAGAAAUUCUUUUAAUCAGUCUUCAGAAGUCACUUCCUGUAGAGAUUUAUAUAACGGUGGUUUAUCACUAAUUCAAUUAUGCUUCUGGAAUGGAUUGUGUUUUAAUUUUAGAAUUCCUUGAGCUUGGCUACAAGCUUAUGAGCACCGUAAGCCAUUCUCCAGGGCAUAAUUGUGACACAGCA
rnacentral:lncRNA from 1 species